UACGUCGGGUGCAAGCGUUAAUCGGAAUUACUGGGCGUAAAGCGUGCGCAGGCGGUUUUGCAAGUCAGAUGGGAAAUCCCCGGGCUCAACCUGGGAACUGCAUUUGUGACUGCAUGGCUAGAGUACGGUAGAGGGGGAUGGAAUUCCGCGUGUAGCAGUGAAAUGCGUAGAUAUGCGGAGGAACACCGAUGGCGAAGGCAAUCCCCUGGACCUGUACUGACGCUCAUGCACGAAAGCGUGGGGAGCAAACAGG
rnacentral:rRNA from 1 species